GAAACAUCUAAGUACCCGGAGGAAAGGAAAUCAAUAUGAUACUCCCCUAGUAGCGGCGAGCGAACGGGGACCAGCCGAGUCCUGAGAGUGACCAGAACUGUUUGGAAAAGCAGGCCAUAGCGGGUGACAGCCCCGUAUGGGAAGCUCGAUGGAACGUAUUAAGUAGGGCGGAACACGUGAAAUUCUGUCUGAAGAUCGGGGGACCACCCCCGAAGGCUAAGUACUCCUUACUGACCGAUAGCGAACCAGUACCG
rnacentral:rRNA from 1 species